GGGGGUGUGGCUCAGUGAUAGAGUGCUUGCCUAACAUGCAAGGGGCCCUGGGUUCCAGCCCCAGGACCACCA